CGUGUAGUACUAACAGGAUCCCUCAGUAACGGCGAGUGAACAGGGAAAAGCCCAGCGCCGAAGCCUGUGGCCAUUUGGUUACUAGGCAAUGUGGUGUUUAGGUCGUCUCUUGGAGAUGUUGCCUCACCCCAAGUCCAGCAAUGAGUAUGGUUAUUCUGACUUGGCCCAGAGAGGGUGAAAGGCCCGUGGGGGUGAGGUUCAUGCAUGAUAAUGUCUCCCUGGGUAGACCUUGGAGUCGGGUUGUUUGUGAUUGCAGCCCAAAGUGGGUGGUAAACUCCAUCCAAGGCUAAAUACUUGCACGAGUCCGAUAGCGAACAAGUACCGUGAGGGAAAGUUGAAAAGUACUCUGAAGAGAUGUUAAAUUCAUCCGGUAGGUA
rnacentral:rRNA from 1 species